AUCAACGCUGGCGGCGCGCUUAACACAUGCAAGUCGCACGAGAAAGUGGAGCAAUCCAUGAGUACAGUGGCGUACGGGUGAGUAACACGUGGAUCAUCUACCUCGUAGUGGGGAAUACCCCCGGGAAACUGGGGAUAAUACCGCAUAAUCCUGUGAAGGGAAAGCCGAAAGGCGCUGUGAGAGGAGUCCGCGGCCGAUUAGCUAGUUGGUGAGGUAAUGGCCCACCAAGGCGAAGAUCGGUAGCCGGCCUGAGAGGGCACACGGCCACACUGGCACUGAAACACGGGCCAGACUCCUACGGGAGGCAGCAGUGGGGAAUCUUGCACAAUGGAGGAAACUCUGAUGCAGCGACGCCGCGUGAGCGAUGAAGCCCUUCGGGGUGUAAAGCUCUUUCGACGGGAACGAUAAUGACGGUACCCGAAGAAGAAGCUGCGGCUAACUACGU
rnacentral:rRNA from 1 species